rnacentral:misc_RNA from 1 species
AUUUAUCCAAAGAUUAAUUAUUAAAAUAAAUCCAUCUUUUAAUAGAAAAUUAAACAAGUGAUUACUUAUUUUUGUAUCCUUUUUUGUGUGCGUUGGAGAUUUUACAGGAGAGUUAGAAUUUAAUUUCCCGCACUACAAGACAAACAUUUGAUUAUUGAGCUAAACAUAGCCCAAUAUAUUGGAGAAUUUUGAAAAACAAAUGAUGAUGUUUUCAGCAUAUUGUAAUUG